rnacentral:misc_RNA from 1 species
GAUGAAGAACGCAGCGAAAUGCGAAAAGUAGUGUGAAUUGCAGAAUUCAGUGAAUCAUCGAAUCUUUGAACGCACAUUGCGCCCGCCAGUAUUCUGGCGGGCAUGCCUGUUCGAGCGUCAUUUCAACCAUCAAGCCCCCGGCUUGUGUUGGGGACCUGCGGCUGCCGCAGGCCCUGAAAUGCAGUGGCGGGCUCGCUGUCACUCCGAGCGUAGUAGUUACAUCUCGCUCUGGGCGUGCUGCGGGUUCCGGCCGUUAAAAGCCUUAUUUACCCAAGGUUGACCUCGGAUCAGGUAGGAAGACCCGCUGAACUUAAGCAUAUCAAUAAGCGGAGGA